GAUGAGCUUAAGGCCAUGUCACAAAAUGCGCUGAAGCUUGCAAGACCUGAAGCUGUCUUCAAGAUCGUUCGUGAUCUUGACGAGCUGGUUAGACAGAGAAAUUUAGUACCCCAGUAUUCCUGUGCUACUUAGCUUCCUCUUCUUCUCCUUCUUUUUAUUUUUUAGGCAAUCAUUUUUUAUAGGAGCAACGUAUAGUGGGCUAAUUAGAUCAUGGGUAUGAUUAUUUGUGGAAAAAAUUGUUUUCAUU
rnacentral:misc_RNA from 1 species